UAUAUAUAUAUAUAUAAUCCGGAUUAGUUUCCCAAACAAAAUAAAUUGUGGAACAACUCGUGUUUCCUCUUCAGUUUAUUUAUCAAGCAAAAGCAAAAAAAAAAAAAAGAAAAAAAAAAACUCAUCAAAGAUCUAAACUAUCCUCCAAUUGAUUGUGUACAUCAGUAUUUAUUUGAAGUAUAUAGAAAAUACUGUUGUCAUGAAACAGUUAUGAUGAGAUAUGCUGCGGUUUCACCAGCAGAAGCCAUAUGAUUGAUUCAAGUAACCCCCAAAGAGCUGGAGACAUCCCAGAAGCUGUCAAGUGUUCUUAAAGGUGAUGAGAUGAGGAAAAGGGGG
rnacentral:lncRNA from 1 species